rnacentral:lncRNA from 1 species
UUUUUUUUUUGUUUUUUAGCCUUUUUUCCGAAAGAUAUACGUCCCUGGUGGAACCAAUUCCAAAAAUGGACCCUUAGCUUGGCGCCAUCCACGCUAACGCCAAGCUUACACGUCUCAGCAUCAGCCACCCUAGCGCCAAGGUCCAUGCGCAGUUGCUGACGCGGAUGCCGACGUGGCGGGGGCUUGGCGCCGUGGAUCUUGGCGCCAAGAUCCACGGCGCCAAGGCUUGGCGCCAGGGUGGAUCGGCACCCACGUCAGCAGCUGCGCGUAGACCUGGGCGUCAAGAUGGCUGGUUGUAGCUUGGCGCCAGCAUGGAUGGCGCCAAGCUAAAGGUCCAUUUUUGGAAUUGAUUCCACUAGAAGCAUAUUUAUGAGAAUCUUUCGAAAAAGGGUUAAAAAACAAAAAAGUCGGCCGUGCAGCCUCCAUAAACGGAGGGACAGGCAGGAGGAGAUCUGCCGCUGCUCUACCUCGCAUUAGCGCUAAUAAUCUGCAGCCGCUCUACCUCGCUUUGGCGCUAAUCUGCAGCCAUGAAUGGGAAAGAAACAAUCUGCAAGAUAUCAGAAUCCGUCUGCAACAUAUCUUACGAGAUAUGACUUAUGAGCCUAAAAAUUAUCACAAGACCUGUUGAUUUCCACGAGCAGCCGCUGGUAAGCACCGCCGUCGCAUAGCAAUUCCUCGCCGAAGGUCGCGUAGGAUGAAGACGACCGGGAAAGGUUGAGACGACGGGAAAAAUCGGGGCCGCUAGUGGACGCAUAUUCACAUGCAUAUGAAGGUAGAAUAGUAUAAAAUAGAUAUUUUUCAUAUUCACAUAUGUGACUGUACACUAAAAGAACAAAAAUGUAUUGUAAAGCGAAACGUGUGGGAACCUUUGUGAAUUUGAUAAAAAGAAAAUUCAUACCAAGCAAUCAUAUAUGUGCUCCUCUUUCACAGCAGAAUAUCAAGUACUUUACAGAAAUGGUAAUAUGACAAUGAUGCAUUAAAAACAUUGUUCAACAGAAAUAUGUUAAUUGGCAAGUAACGGUUUCCUCCCAUUCGUUACAUAGGAGUACAUACUACCCGCUCCAUCGACACAGAGAACAAUGAUUUUCGUUGGUUUUGCCUAUGCACCGUUCGGGAGCCCUAGGCACGCAGGGAUCGCCAUGAAGGCAGGAACACCCUGGUGUGGCCACCCCAUCCGAGCACGCAGGAAAAACAAAAUAGAAAUGUAUAGUUUAUUUACUUCUCCAAACAACCCUCACAUGUUUCUGUCUUCUUUACCCCCUGAUGAUUUUCUUUAUUAUUUUCUUAUGUUCGAGUGCAGGAUGCAUUUUGAAUUGAAAAUCCGUGAGAUGACAGACGUCGUCAUAUCUAAUUAAAGAAAAAGUUUCCAAGAAUUGUUCGUGAUUAUUUUCAUGCAAGAAUCUAGUGUACCAACCUACAAAAUGAUUAAAACAUGCAUACAUUUAUUUGUUCAUUUACGAAUAUUAUUUCACAAAAUUUGAACUCCAAAAUAGAUAACCCACAUGAAAAUGAAGAAACACAAGUUUUGUUAGAGGAGUAUUGGUCACCUGCUUUAGUUUGAAUAGUAUGGUGGGUAAAAUGAGAUGGAAAAUAACUUUAGAAGUUAUAUCCGUACAAACGCAAUAAUGAAAUGUGAAUUGGACUUUUUUAUAAUAAUGAUAUAAGAGGGGAAAAUAAGUAUUUUUUUGGAACUUAAGAGGGGGAAAAUAAGGCACAUAUGUGCUUAAGUCGCAACUUCUUCUUUUGGAAAUAGACAAACACAUCAUGGAAAUAUGCGAGAAGCAGGAAUUGGCCCAACUGAAAUAUCCAACUCUUAUGAGCGAAUGAUUUCUUCUUCGACCCGUUCUUUGCAUUCAUCGCACGAGGUCCUCGCAUCAGGUUCUAUCAUGUCUCAUGUUAUUGUCUUUUUCUGUCACCUUUUCUUUUAAUUUUGUUUUUCUGGAUGCAUUGAGCCUAACAAAAAAUGAUAUUUAACUGGAAUCUUUUUGCUCCCACAGAAAUAUGUGAUUCAUCACAACUGAAUCAUAAUAUGCAGCAUGUGAAAGGAAUAUGCGCGCAUGCAAACAUUAUGCCAUGAAUUGCUAUUUCGUCGAUCGAUCAGUCAAAAAGAACAGCAUACAACUUGGCCAAUUUUUUUUUUAAAAAAAUCGAUUACUUAUAAGACAAAUUUAGUAAUUGUAUAUGGUCGACCGUGACAAAUGACAUGCCGUAAACCUUGAUCAGCUCAAAACUGUCUCGAUCGUACGUCAUCAAUGGAGAUUGGAAACAUCGGGGCGUUCUCAAAAUGUCAUGUUAACCAUUGACCAAAAUGGCUGUGCUUAGCCGUUCCAGGAAAAAUGACUUUAUUUAGUUUCAACAAAAGAUGACUUUACUUUACUAUGCUCCCGUCCGGCCGAAGGCCCGUAUGUUUGGAAUGGCCUGGUUGUCUUUUAAAAUCAGCACGACUUCUCGAGGCACCCUAAUCGAAGAAACACCGGCGGGAGAGCAAGCUCCAAGAGGGUUUUAGCGAGGAGCGAUUGUGGUGGAACCGUCCAACUUAAACUGGUUUAAGUGUGCCUAAUCGCUAUUGAAAUAGCAAUUAUACGAAACACACCUAAAACAGUGUAAGCCCGACAGUCCGUUGAGUGUCCCUAGGACGCCUCGAAACAUCCACGACAUGUUUCACAGACAUACAUCAAGAUCGCUUUCACGAAGGGAAAGCAUCAACAAACAUUACAUUUUUACAUACAUACAGAAGGCGCGAAUUGUUACAAAUCGUAGAUUGAAAUAAACUUAACGAUGCAAGUUAGACCAUUACUAGGAGUUUUGAACAUAAAAUCAGUCCAAGGCAAGUAAUUAUACAACUAAGUUUUAUUCCAGGGUAUUAUGAGACCCGUAAAUACCCUAGUUCUUCGAUAUUCUUCUUCGGUCAUCCCCUGUUGUACUUCUGAAAAUAACAACAAAGGGAUCCCCUGAGUACGAGGGUACUCAAUAAGACUGAUCCGACUAACCAAUAUAGAUAGAUUUAAAAUAUUGUAUGAUAGCUUUAUGGUGUACUAGCUGACUUACAUUUUGCGAAAAAGCUUACUAUUAGUGGGACCUUAGUUUUAUCAUUUUAUUUCAGAUUAGUUUUUACCUAACCAGAUGAAUAAAAUAUUUUUGAGCAACCAGGUGGAACUAAGUCAUACAGCAUUCUAAUUUCAGGAAAAAUAUUAUAUUCAACUUGAUUACUCUACAAUGCUUAAGCGAUAAUCAAGUGCAUUCAUAAUCAAGAAUUGCGGUAAUCCGGACCGAUUUACAUCUUGCAGGAGAUACCUCAUUACCCGCUAUGCACAACGGAUCAGGUUGUACAUAACAACCUUUCGACUAGCCGUACCCAAAGAUUGGAAAUAUGACUACACGAACCCAGGGAUGCAUCCCCACUUAGGACCCCACGUCUGGCCUGAUCUCCAUGUGACUUUCAGGCUACGCUCCUGUCUUUCCACUGCACGCCAAGCACGGGUAUAAAAUAUUUUCAAUCAGAGAGCCAACUAACCUAUCAGGUUUUGCUGGUCCCCACAGACAGUAAGCAACAAGGUAAAAUCAUUUGAUCAAAGGUUAAGACAACGAACGAGCAUUAACCAAAUUAACUUAGUGGACAGAACUACCAUCUCUAGCUUCUAUCCACCUUUCCAAAAUUCCAAGCUAUUUUCCUUGAUUAACAUAUAUACGUUAAAGGUUGAGUAACACAAGUUACUUUAACGGUACCUAAGCGUUACUAAGUAUAGGAUGUUUACUAAAUAAUUGAAUAGGUGGCAAAGAUAUCCUAUAAAUAAGGUAGGAUUAUGCACAAGAGUGGUUUGCAAUCAACUCCUAGACUUAAUGCAUAAGGAAAUAACCAAUAAUUGGACUCAUGAAUAAUAAUUUCUGAAAGUAGAUAGGCUUAGAUGCACCGAGACUUACCUUGAUUCACAAAAAAGUUAGUAUCCUCGGAACAUCCUUCCACACAAGGGAUCAAUUCAACAACCUCUUCGAAUUCCUGAGGUUCUUCAGAGAGAUCCAAGAAAUCCACUUCUGAGGCUUCUAUGUCUACGGUAUGAUGCAUGCCAUAUUUAGAGAUGAAAAACUUUUUGAAAUAAAAGAAUAUACAACUUAUCUCAUGAUAAAGUUGCAAGCCAACACUAAUCUACCCAUAAAGAUUAACCCACAAUUUUAAUUUCUUUAACUAACCUAACUUAAGCAUUUUCUUUAUUUAGAAAAGGAUUAUAAUUUAUUUCUAAUCUGAAAAACUUAAUUCCUAUGGAUUAGUAAUUAUUUAUGAAUAAUAAAACAUUAUUAACAAUUUUAUUCAUUUUAUAAAGAUUAAGUAUUUAUUUAAAUACCUUCAUCAAAGGUAUUAAUAAAUACUUAAAUUUUACUAUUUUAUCCUAGGGUUUUAGAAUUUCUAAUACAUAAAGGAAAAUAAAAUACACCUAAUAAAAUUGGUUUCACUAAAUUUGGACAAUUCUAUAAAUUAUAAUGAAUAAAAUAUGAAAGUAGGAAUUUAAAUCUAUUUUCUAAAUCUAAAAAUCAACAUUAUCCUGAAAACCCCCUCCCUGGACUUUUCUCACGUGCCCACGGCCUACCCCCACUCACUGACAUGCGGCCCCGGUCAACAGAGCCAACCCUCGGCCUUGACCGAGAGCUGGCCGGCGGGUAAGCGCGGCAGCUCGCCGGCGACGAGGUUCCCGGUGACGGGGACACCUCCACACGACUCGCGACACUACUCGGUAUCCCUUGAUGGUACUCUAGGGGUGGUUGGCUUCACAUCGACGAUGAACUUUGCAAGACGGACGGUGGCACGACGGCGCUUGGCGGACGGCAGCGCAAAGCUUGUCGGCGGUAGCGCUAAGGCAACAAGCGGCACUGGCAGCUCUACUACGACCUAAGCAACGUAGCGCACCCUUCCACCCAAGCUAACCGUGGCCGGAGCAAGCCCCUCCACGGCGGCGGCCAUGGCCGAAGCGCGGUGCAUGGCGGCAAUCCGGCCAACCUGGUCGAGCCCCAAGCCAACAAGCACGGCCUAAACCAUCCCUAGCUCAUGCGUGACCUACCUAGACCCUUGGACCAUGACCAGAACUCCGGCAUAAGGCAUCUCCAUGGCGGUGACCAUUACCAGAACAAGCGGCGGACGGACCCGAGGGAGAAGGUGGUGGUGAACUGAGGAUGUGGGGAUGGUGGCUGUCAGGACAGGCUUAGGGGCUCAGGGCAGUGUCUCUAGCGAGGUGGAGUCGCUGGCGGUGGCGAAACAACGGCGGAGCAGGACGCCGACCGAGAGCAGUUGGAAGAGUAGAGGAGCUCGGUGAAAGGAUAAACUCACCAACGGGAAGGUGAUUUAUACAAAAACUUACUGAAAGGAUCUAGGAUGUCGACUAGAGGGGGAGUGAAUAGUCGAAUCUGAAAAUUUUACACUUAAAACAAGCUUAUGAGACACUUCCAGAAAUUUUCGGAGAUUGUUCUGGAAAUUUUCGAAAUUUUCGGAAAUUUUCGGAGAAAUCUUCGGAUUUUUCUGGAUUUCUACAAAAAUAACUACAACCUUAAGAUUGACCUGUUAGAUUUUAGAUUGACGAAUAUAGGUUGUUCCACAGAUAUUCUAAGUUUUUUCAGCAAGAUAUAGCAGCUUCAAACACACUAGAAAAGGAGAUCGAGUACAAAUCCUAAAUAUGUUUUCUAUGCAAGAAUAUAUAUAAAAGCAAGAACAACAAGCAAGAGAGACACAAGGAUUUGUUACUAGAGUUCAGCUUCACACCAUGAAGCUUACGUCUCCGUUGAGGACCCACAAAGGGUGGGUUUAUAUCAUCCAGCCACUUUCCUCCCUCUAGCGACCACAAACAUCAAGUUAGAGUCACUUACUCAAUUAAAGGGAUAAUACAAACUUCCCGAGGCAGCCACAAAGCUUGGAUGCUCGUUCGAGCGACGCCUAGCCGGCUAGGAGCUUGAAGCUCCAAGAGUAACAAACACGAACUACCGGCUUGACGAAGAACGAAAGUGCUCAAGAGAUGGAGUUGCAGCUCACUAGCACAAUCUCUUGCUCACUCACCAUUUUCUCCUCAAAUCCCCACCAAAUCUCACAAGGAAGUCAAAGGGGAGCAAGGAGGGAACUUUAGAGUGUUUCUGUAGAUCAGAACAGUACAGAGGCAAGAGAGGACGAAAGGAAGAGGGUGAGGGGGUAUUUAUACCCCUUCACUCCAAAACUAGCCAUUAUAACAAAGAUUCAGAAAAUUUCCGGAAUUUUCUCCGGAGAUUUUGAGUAUCUCCGGAAUUUUCCGUAAAAACUUUCAGAAAAAUCCAGACCUCCGGAGACUCUUCCGAAACUUCUGGAAAAACUUCCAGAAAAAUCCGGACCUCCGGAAACUCUCCACUUCUAGAAUAUUCCAGGAAAACUUCCGGAAAAUUCCGAAUCUCUCUGGUUAGCACUUCUAAUUAUCCCCCAUGUAACUUGCAAGUGUAAAUAGUAUCUCUCAUAGGUUUUGUUAGGUCAUCUUGAGCACAUUUUUCAUCAUCAAGAUCAGAGAUCACGCAUCCCUCUUAAUAGUGAGGCAUUCAUAAACUCAAAUUCAAACCGAAAAUAAAUUUAAACUAGAUAAGAUGCUGCUCAACAUUUCAUUGCCUUUUGAGGGGUCCAUCACAAGUGCUCCACGACCAAUAAUCCAUUUAAAUCUGCUUAUGCACUUCAAACUUUGUUAGAUACUCAAGCUUUUAUCAUUAAAUCACCAAAACUCACUUAGGGGGUCAAAGAUACUCUUCACUUACCACCCUCUCGAGUACCACAUCCUGCCUGCCUGCUUGCUUUUGCGUCCCUUGCCGGUGCUGGCGCAUGGCACGGCGGCGCCGCUCUUGCCAUUAGUGGCAAACAGUUGUGUAGCACCGGCCGUCUCUGUUAUGCUCCUCCCUUUUCUUUUCUUUCCCCAAAUCACCCGAAAGUUCAGCUUAAAUUGUGACCGAUUUGUAAUUCAAACUCCAGGAAUUCCUUUAAGCAAAGUUGGAGAGGAUCCUUGGUUCUACAUUUGAUUUAUUUGCAUCGAGGACCAACAACCACUCUAUCACCGUGAAUUUCGGUCUCAAACUUGAGCUAGGGUUCGGUCAGUUCAGAACUGAAUCGCCCCCCACCAUUCAGUUUCGUCAGAAACUUCAAAAACAGCUCGAUGCUUCACUUUGAGUUCAAAUUCAACUGCUUGAAGUUGGUUCAUUUUACCCAACAUCUACUGGAUCUUGUUAACCAUAUGACAGGGGUUCCAUUUUGCAUAUGAAAUCCCAACUCUUACAUACAAUUUCUUCCAAAAACUCAAGAUAAAGUUUGCUAUUUUCCACUGUUCUUAGAACUAAACGGCGAUAGCCUUUCAAUUUCAUCAAUUAAACUGACAGUGAAUGAUUCCAACUUUGAGCUCCCAGAAAAAUUGGAAUCCUGCUCUUUCCUUGUCCAACAACAUGCUCAAAAUGUUUACUGGAUAUCAUAGUUCACUUGGAAUUCAAAGUCUUUCCAAGUAUAUAUGAAAAAACUUCUAGAAUUAAAAUUCAAAGUUGCCUCCUUGACACUGUUUGCAGACUUAACUCAGUUUUAACAGCUGAGCUGAAAACUAAACCACUUUCAAACUUUGAACCUCCUUUAAAAUAUGGAUUCUUUAUUUUCUCUAGCCAACAACAUGUCCAAUAUAUUCAUUAUAUAUCAGAGUCCACUUAUGUUCCACAACAUCUCCCAGCUUCAAUGAAAAAUCUCCUAGAAAUCACUUUCCAAAUUGUCAGCUUGUCACUGUUUUUAAACUAAAAAUUUUCAGAUAUGAAACAGUAACUUCCAAUCAACCACUUUGACUUUGAAUUUGAGAUGCUCGUGACUUGAAUUUGAUUCUUCUGAAUUCUAAAUAACUUCAAGACUUGAAUUCAUAUUUUUGUCAAAUUUCUUCAGAUCUGAAUCUUGAAUUUGCCUUUUUGGUCAAAUUUGACCCAAAGUUGACUUUGGUCCAUAAUACAUUCUUAUCAUCCAAUUUCUUCAUUAACACUUUAAUGGUCAUUCUUAAGCCUUUAGCAACCUGGUUGUUACACCACCCCCACCAGAUUAGUGAGAGUAGGUUUCCCUCAACAGUCCGACCCGCACAAGCGCAAUUUGCGUUAAUGUUUUACUCCUAAAUAUAUAUAUCGCUAUACUAUAUUAUUUUCAAUCAAACCUAUAAAUUAUUCAAAUUAAAAUAAAGUUUAAUUAAUUGUCCUUCAAUAAACUAACAACUCUAAACACAUAGAAGCAUGCACUCUUAAGUUCACUUGUGUCAUGAAACAUCUCAACAUAUGUCAUGGGCUCACUGGUCUAUUAGCUUCUAUGCUAUAUAUAAUCACUCACACCGUAGUUUUCCUCACAAAAUAUCAAAAUUUACCAAUGUCCUCCUAUAAUCAUUUUUAAAACAUACACACUACCAUUCUUAUAUAGGAAUAAAAAUAUCUUCUAUAUAUUAAAUAUUUUAUCUAUAUACAUCGUCAAAAGUAAGAACCUCUAUAAGAUUUUUAUAUUAUCUUAUAAAAAUCACAUAUCUAUUUGAUUCAAAUAAUAUUCUAGAAAAUUUCUUAGGAUGGUAAAAGUUUUUAUAGGUGCCCAUUAGCAUGCUAUGUUACCUUUGCACAAUCUUGAAACGGUAUAAUGCACAAGUAUAAGAACUUCUAUUCUAUUUGGUAUGCUUUCAUCAGUCAUGACAUUUACAUGUUGUUUUAUAUAGUAUAAGCCACUUAAAUUUCAAAAAUAUAUAUGAUUAAGCGAAGUAUAUUUCUGUAAGUGUUCCUAAAUGCCAGAAUGUAGAGAUCCAAAAUACAUGUAAAAGCAUGUCGAAUCCUAAUCCAAACAGAAUGAGUCGAAAAGAAAGAGGAGGAGUAGGCAAAUGCUGAACAGAAGCGAGAUUUAGUUUGAGCGUUCGGGGUGCUUGUUGUUCCUUCCAACUUGUGUCAGUGGCCGAACACCAAGCAACCACCGAAUGUAGUACUAUAUCAAUCAAGUUAGGUGCCGAUGAGGCUAUUUAUCUUAUUUCGGCUCAACUAUACACGAUCUAGCACAGUUACAAGUGUACCUUUAAUUUUUAAUGCAUGCUAACUAAAUUUUUUUUUCAAAAAUUGGGUGUACAUUUGUACACUCCUGCACCUAUAUUGUGUCCACCCCUAGGGAACCAGAGCUGGAACAGGUCCGGGCUCGGGUCCGGCAUCAUCUAGGUUAAGCUCUCGCAUUUUCUUCCUCGCUGCUAUGUUUAUCAUGUGUACGGGGAAAAAGGAAUUCACUUUUAGAAACAAAACCACAUUUGCUUGGCAUAAUUGAGGUGAAAAUAUCAUAUUUCUUAUCCUAUUUUGCUUCAUUAAUGAUGUAUUUGUGUUGUGUUUGGGAGAAAAGAUCAUCUUUUCUUAAGUUCUAGGUAGAAAAUCAUAUAUUUAGGGAGUAAUUGAGGCUAAUUUAUUGUGCUAAUCACUUGCUUACCUUGGCCGACCGAUUCAUUUGCAAGAUAUUCCUGUGUAUACUAUCUUGGAGGACGUCGAUGACAGAGAGUUCCAUAAGCUCCUGAUGCAGAGGUACGACAGAAUGUUUGAUGUGGCAUCAACUACAAUCCUCGGUGUGCUGGUGACACCUCCUAUGCUUCUCUCAGCCGCCGAAGUAAGGGAGGAGAUGUUCACAUUUCACAUGGUGAAGCUGAUUGGUCAGAUCCGCACUGUGUUGCUUCUUUUCAGAGAAAUGGAUCUUUAUUCUGUCUCUUUCAAUCCUAGCGGCGAUCCUAAUUCGACUUAGUUCAGAUUCUCGAAUGAGCUUAUUCCAUCAUUUCUUACUUAAGUUGUCUUGCCCUACAACUGCAGAUAUGGUGAUCUGUAAGUAUAUUCAGCUUCAUACAGGCAUGGAUUUUUUACUGACAACUACAAAUCCAUAUUUGGUAAAAUCUAUAUAUAAGAUAUACAAGUCCUGGUUUCAGUCAUAAUUGAUCCCUUGAUUGGAAUGGACAUUUGAUGUUGGAUUUGGUACAGAACUUAUGCAAAUAAUGAUAUUGAAUUUUAUAGAAUAGAUAUUUGAAACCAUGGUCAAGCGAAAAUUAGUUUUCAUAUGAUAGAAUGAUCGAAGAGAUCAUGGUGGGAUAGAAAUAAAAUUACCAAGAUAUUUGACUGAGUAAGAAAUUUUUGUUGAUCAUAUGACAAUUGCUGGUAUAGUGAUACGAGUACCACUGGAUAGGUUAAAAUGUUGUUGAUCGAGCAAGCUCUUGAUUUAAGGGGACAUAAUUACUGAGCUGAUCACAUUAAGUUAGGAUUCAGAGUACUUUUAGAGUACUCUGAAAUUACUGUUUCAGUGAAAUUUCAGUAAUAUUCAGAGUACAUUGAGUUAGGAUUGCAAAAUUACUGUUUCACGGGUCACAUUGAGUUACAUUUCAGUGAAAUAGUAAUAUCCAGUAUCAUCACCAAAAAUAGAAAAUAAUUCAUACUGCUUUCUAGAGUUAGGAUAAUGAUCUUGUAAAAGAAUAUAAUGUUCUUUAGAUGUAUGUUAUUGACUUAUAUUUUUGAAUUAACAUGGCCGUUCCAUUAAUAAAGUCACAUUUUUGUUAUUGUAGCACAAAACUAGAGAUUGGAUAUUACUGUUUCACAGACAUUAUUGAUGUUCUAUCAAUGUUUACCUUUGCAAAUGUCAAAAAGAAAACCAAUGAGCGCAUGAGAGUGUUGUAUCGCACUGGUGUUAUGUUUAGUGAAACAAUGCGCCUUGGUGAUGCACAGCAACUUGUUAUGAGAAUGCUGCAUCUACGUGCACGCACGCACGUUACUAGUCUUCAGGACUCAGAAAUACAUUCUUGGGGAGUAUAUUGUCUCUAUGGGAUACGCCAUAUGUGUGGAGAACCUAUGUUGUACGCUAUAGAUGAGGCUGUUGUCCCAGGGCUCUAUAAUGCUAAGAAAGGAAAACAUGAAAUUUGGGGAAUAAUUGGCUGACGAAGAUGUUCUGAAGAUGAUGACUUUCAGAUGAAAAGGAGGGUGGCAGUGAUUUUGGUUUUCCUUUUCGGUGAAGAUUAUGUGCCACACUACCUGAUGUUGAAACAAAAGGUAUUGGUGUGUCUUGUCAAUCAAGAGUAAUUUGUGUGCCGCUUUUGUUUUCCAGGGAUAUGUAGCGCCAGAAGAGAUGAGAAAGCCUAUCUUCAAAACUAGGAAGGUCAGGAGGGCAGCCACACCAAGUGCUGUAGGAAGGUGCCUACUCAGUUUCAGCGAACCAACUCUUUUUUGGUAGAAUAAUGUCCCUUCAUGUUUUGUUUACCUUUUGGUUUUAAUUGUGCUGUCUUUUUUCUUUCUUUCUUUUGCGGGAUACAAAGAUGGAGACUACAAUGCUCAGAUCGGACCUCAACACCCUCCGUGGUCAGUCAUGGUUGAAUGAUGUUGUUAUUACAUUUCUAUUUGAUAUCUUCCAAUCGAACGAGUACAGAUACGAAAAUACCAGAGCCUGCACAAGGGUCCAAGGGCAUCAAAUAUGUACAAAAUGGCACAUCUCAAGUAAAGAAUGAAUUGUAAUGACAUAUUUUCAAAUAGACGAAUUGUAACGGUAGUUCUCCAAACUUGGAUAGUUGCAAUAGCAUAUAUCCAAUUAACCCAAGAUCAAAUCCUGAAAUCCCUAAUCAAUUCUACAUGUCAAGUAAAGAAAUUGUACUAGAGAAUUGGGGCUUUGGGGUAUUGUAACCACGUUGGUCUUGGGAUUGGCCUAGGCCGCAGAGGCGGAGGAGCUGCCGGUUCCCAAGGUGUCGCUGUGCCGCUGACGCAAGGCGAGAAGACCUGCACCUUGUGGGCCGUUGCUAUAUGGGCUAGCUGCUAGGCUGCCGGUGUCACGAUGGCUUUUUACUAGUGUCAAGGCACGUAAACAACACAAGGGUACAAGAGCUUCGGGCAAAAUCGUCGAUGUCAGCUGACAAAACGAUUGCACGUAGCUCCACCCCUGCUGGCCUUGAGCAUCUGCAUGAUGCCAUCCACCAUAUGCCGCUUUGAUCCCAUCUCUUCAAUUCUUCAUUGUGCCAAAGCAAUAGGAGAGCUUUUUGUUACUUGUUUCAGUCUAGUAGUCUACUGGACGGUGUAUUUUUAUAAGCUGCUGCAAUGUAAAUUGUAUUCGGUUGCAAUCGAUCACAGACAGUUCACAAAUAUGUUCAACUAAUGUUCUUUAUCUUAGGCGCUGGCUCUCUGAUAAAGGGUUUGUUUGCAUAACAUCUAAAAUCUUGCGAGAAUGGAACUAAAUGGUCUUAUUAUUCAUUGCAUGUCAAGAGGAUACCAGACACUUUUAUGUUAUCUGAAUGUUAUUUGUAUUAAUUUGUUGGCCCGUUGAAAUAGUACACGCUGAUAUUUUCAUCACUGGAUGCUUACGCCCAAGCGAACUUCACAGAAAUGGGAAGGAUGAGAAGUCGAGGGAGACGAACCCACAGAAUUUGAAAGCAUGAGUCUGAUCUGGCACAAAACGAGCCAUCGUAUAUACGAGGUUUGGUUCUCAAAACUCAAAAGCUCACACAGGAUUUCAGAAGCUUAUGAUGAAAAUAAAAGGAUGUUGUACUAGAGCUCACAUGGCAAUACAUUGUGUCAGAUGAUGCUCUACGAGAGAUCACGUCUCAUGUUUGCGUUAGCAGUCAGCAAAAUUGAUGGGUUACUGAUAACGCUACGCCUGCUAAAUUCAGCUAAAUCAUCUGAGAUGCUGCAUCAGACGUUCAGAACCAACCAAAUAAGCAAAGAAAGUCAAGCUUCAGACCGUACAUUGCAUAAUGUACAUGUACACAUCGAUCUUAGUUCUUUACAUACAAAGCACAACCCUACAUGCUCAGUCAAAGGGUGAACACAUCAGUACAUCGCACGCUUAAUUUCCAGAUUACACUACAGACUGUACAUGCCACACGCACGAUCAGGAUAAGCAAGUUCCAAACUGAAACGUUAGGUUAUCCUACAAAGGCAGCGGUUCCUCCAGGCCCUGGAGGAAGAGGAACCAACCCCGGCCCAGAGCAGUUACUUCUCGCCAAGCCGCGUCACAGCAUCAGGCCGAGCCGCUCGCUGGCUACGUCGCACUUGACGGGCGCGAGCCCGACGCGGCCGCGCUCCAGGUCGUACUCCACCC